rnacentral:rRNA from 1 species
UUUUUUAUGGAGAGUUUGAUCCUGGCUCAGGACGAACGCUGGCGGCGUGCUUAACACAUGCAAGUCGAACGGUAAGGCCCCUUCGGGGGUACACGAGUGGCGAACGGGUGAGUAACACGUGGGUGACCUGCCCUGUACUUCGGGAU